rnacentral:rRNA from 1 species
CAGCCCUAAACGAUGCGCGUUAGGUGUAUCGGUGACCACGAGUCACCGAGGUGCCGAAGGGAAACCGUGAAACGUGCCGCCUGGGAAGUACGGUCGCAAGGCUGAAACUUAAAGGAAUUGGCGGGGGAGGCACCACAACGGGUGGAGCCUGCGGUUUAAUUUGGACUCAACGCCGGGAAGCUCACCGGAUAAGACAGCGGAAUGAUUGCCGGGCUGAAGACCCUGCAUGACCAGCUGAGAGGUGGUGCAUGGCGUCAGUGACU